rfam:Schistosoma curassoni strain Dakar, Senegal genome assembly, scaffold: SCTD_scaffold0007098
ACCUUGCUGACGAGUGCCAAGUAGUACGAAACUCGGGUCCAGGGU